UGGGGAAUUUUGGACAAUGGGCGAAAGCCUGAUCCAGCAAUGCCGCGUGUGUGAAGAAGGCCUUCGGGUUGUAAAGCACUUUUGUCCGGAAAGAAAUCCUUGGCUCUAAUACAGUCGGGGGAUGACGGUACCGGAAGAAUAAGCACCGGCUAACUACGUGCCAGCAGCCGCGGUAAUACGUAGGGUGCAAGCGUUAAUCGGAAUUACUGGGCGUAAAGCGUGCGCAGGCGGUUUGCUAAGACCGAUGUGAAAUCCCCGGGCUCAACCUGGGAACUGCAUUGGUGACUGGCAGGCUAGAGUAUGGCAGAGGGGGGUAGAAUUCCACGUGUAGCAGUGAAAUGCGUAGAGAUGUGGAGGAAUACCGAUGGCGAAGGCAGCCCCCUGGGCCAAUACUGACGCUCAUGCACGAAAGCGUGGGGAGCAAACAGGAUUAGAUACCCUGGUAGUCCACGCCCUAAACGAUGUCAACUAGUUGUUGGGGACUUCAUUUCCUUAGUAACGUAGCUAACGCGUGAAGUUGACCGCCUGGGGAGUACGGUCGCAAGAUUAAAACUCAAAUGGAAUUGACGGGGUCAUAGCUGUUUCCU
rnacentral:rRNA from 1 species